ACUAAGCAUAAUUCAGGAAGCAUGGCUAAUAGCAAAGUUAGCAUCCUUACCCUCCUCCUAAUCUGCGGUAUGGUUACCGAUCUGUGCACUUUUCGUAACUUAUAUUGGUUGAUUAUUGACACUUCUAUGAUGGUCAAGUAUUUUAUCAUUGUGAAACAAUAUUGCAAAAAUACUGUAAUAUAGAUCUUAUGAUAUUAGUUAAGCAGUCAUCUGCUGCCCAUUGGUAAAUAUUGUGUGUUUUGAUAAAGAGAAGCAUUGAAGAAGUUGCUUGUGCAUAUAAAGUAUUAAGGUUUUAGAUAAAUUUUUACAUGUAUGCAGUUGAAUUUAUUGAUCAUUUUCUUUCUGGGCAUUUUUUCCUGAAUUAUUAAGUUUUUCCACUGGUAAGUUAAUCUUUUCUUCAUAUGUUUGUGGAUUCUAAAGCAAUGUUGCAAUACUAUAAGUUAUGCCAUUAAGUUGUAGCAUGACAUAUACAUGAUUUUAUCUUAACUGCAUAUUGAAUUUUCUCGAUAUUUUCUUUGAUCAAGCUUUAUACGCAAUACUAGACAAGACUGAGCUAAACAAUAGGUUUGAUUUCAAUAUUAUGUUUUUCUUUCUAUGACAGCAUUGUUUUUCUUGGGAAGCAAAGUGCAAUAUGCUGAAGCCCAAAGGAAAAUUUGCCCACUAGUUUGCCUCAAAGUUGGCUACAUGACUUGCCCAAAAUCUGGUUCUAAGAAGCUUCAUCCAGGCUGCACAAACUGUUGCAAAGUAAAGAAGGGCUGCAAACUUUAUAGAUCUAAUGGAAGCCUAAUUUGUACUGGAAAGUAAUUGGACAUGCGAUAAAUCUUAAAUAAAUUGUCAUAUGUUUAUGCUAUAAACAGGCAAAAUAAUAAAUGAAUCUCUUAUAAUAAAUCCAAGAUUCAGGUUUAAUUGUAUUGAUGGACGUUGUUUCUAUGAAAUUAUCCUUUACAUAAUUACUUCUCUAAGUUUUUUGGGUGAGACUUAGUUGUUGUAUAAUCUUUUAUUCAUCUACUAGCCACCCACCACCCUCGACCUCCUGCAUAAUCAAAAAAUUGUUGUAAAAACAGAAAUUACACACAGCAUGAUGAGGGAGACUACAAAAAUUCAAACGAAAUAAAAGAUAUAUGUACCCAUGGAUCUCUUGAGGACAGAAUUUGCCUCUAGCACAUAUGAAUAGAUCAUGACUGGGUGGGGCUUAUUGUUACACCCACUUUAUUCAUAGUCAAAGUCAAAAUUAUUCAUUCAAAG
rnacentral:lncRNA from 1 species